rnacentral:snRNA from 1 species
AUCGCUUCUCGGCCUUUUGGCUAAGAUCAAGUGUAUAAUUUUUGAUCUUAUUUUCCGUCGAUUUUAAUAAAUUAUUGUAUUAAAUUAAAGAUAAAGUUCUUCUGCACACUGUGAUUAUAUUUUCAAGUUGG